UGUGAUCUCUCCCAGCCAGAACGCUUCCCAGACCACCUCGUCGCGGCCUGGGAACGGAAUGUGACCAGGACGGGUUAACUCGCUGGGGCUCAGGGCUCCAUUCCAGGCUGGGCCUGCAAGAGAGGAAAGGAAGGAUUUUUCUCCUGAGAACAGUGUGGCAGGCCCCAGCAUAUUUCAAAGGAUUCAAACUCUCUAAUCUGGGGACUAGGGGCUGGAUUUAGGAAGACAAUGACAUCACCUCUCCCACAGAGCGGCUGGAGUUGGCCUGGAUUUUAGUGAAGCGAGUCUCCAUCCCAUCCCAUGCCAUGGCAGACGAUGCCUAGCAGGGCCCGGCACCAGGACCAGGGGCUCGGUGGGCGAGCCUACGAUUCUGGGUUGUUCUCAUGUACUUUGCCUCCUCUGAUCUCGUUUUAUCAGCGGAGAGAUGGCAUCCAGUUGCAUCAGAUGAAACACAACCCGACUGCAGCCCGAAUGAGGGAGAGGCAGUCAUUCUUUCUCGUGUGACGGAGUGUCUGGAAGACGGCAGGCCCAUCCCGUUUCGCUUUCUGCUUCAUCCUUCAUGUGUUUGGAGACGCCAGCUCCGGCUGUGUCCACAGCCACAUGGGAGGAGCUGGGAGGAGAAUCCUGGGACCUUCGGCUGGCAGUCCUGCUUCUCAUUGGACAGAGCUGGCCCCUAGGUCACCGCUUUGCUGAGGGAGGCAGGAGGGCACUUCCAGCUGGGCACGUUGUGACCCCGACAGAUGAGGACCCUGUGAGUAAGGACAGCAGAAUGGGAACUGUGUCUGCAACAAGCAAACCCUCCCAGGUGCGUCAGGGUCUGGACUCCAACUCGGGGCUGACGACGCUGCUGUAUAUGACCGUCUCCUUCCAUCUCUCGGCCCUGGGUGACGUCCUCGGACACGCAUUCUAGCUCACCAAUUCUUUCUUCACCCACCUCUAACGUGGCUUAACCAUGAAUUCUACGUUUUAAUUCCUGUUUUCUUUUCCCCAAGAGUUCUUUCAAAUCUACCUA